GACAGAGGGUGCAACCGUUGUUCGGAAUUACUGGGCGUAAAGCGCGUGUAGGCGGCUAAGUAAGUCGGGCGUGAAAUCCCACGGCUCAACCGUGGAAGUGCACUCGAAACUGCAUAGCUAGAGUCCUGGAGAGGAAGGUGGAAUGCUUGGUGUAGAGGUGAAAUUCGUAGAUAUCAAGCGGAACACCAGUGGCGAAGGCGACUUACUGGACACAUAUUGACGCUGAGGUGCGAAAGCGUGGGGAGCAAACAGG
rnacentral:rRNA from 1 species